rnacentral:rRNA from 1 species
AAAUUGAAGAGUUUGAUCAUGGCUCAGAUUGAACGCUGGCGGCAGGCCUAACACAUGCAAGUCGAACGGUAACAGGAAGCAGCUUGCUGCUUCGCUGACGAGUGGCGGACGGGUGAGUAAUGUCUGGGAAACUGCCUGAUGGAGGGGGAUAACUACUGGAAACGGUGGUUAAUACCGCAUAACGUCGCAAGACCAAAGAGGGGGACCUUCGGGCCUCUUGCCAUCAGAUGUGCCCAGAUGGGAUUAGCUGGUUGGUGAGGUAACGGCUCACCAAGGCGACGAUCCCUAGCUGGUCUGAGAGGAUGACCAGCCACACUGGAACUGAGACACGGUCCAGACUCCUACGGGAGGCAGCAGUGGGGAAUAUUGCACAAUGGGCGCAAGCCUGAUGCAGCCAUGCCGCGUGUAUGAAGAAGGCCUUCGGGUUGUAAAGUACUUUCAGCGGGGAGGAAGGUGUUGUGGUUAAUAAC